AUUGAACGCCGGCGGCAUGCUUUACAUAUGCAAUUCGAACGGUAACGGGCCUUCGGGUGCCGCGGAGCGGCUAACGGGGGAGUAAUACACCGGACCGUGCCCGAUCGUGGGGGAUAAAGCGGCGAAAGCUUUGAUAAUACACUAUACGAUCUACGCAUCAACGCAAGGGACCCUACGGCCCUCUGUGGGCGGAGCGGCCUGUGGCAGGUCAGGGACAUGGUGGGAUACAAGCUUAACAAGCCGAGGAUCUGUAGCUGGUCUCAGAGGAUGAUCAGCCACACGUGGACUGAGACACGGCCCAGAAGCCUACGGGAAGCAGCAGUGGAGAAGUUUGGACAGUGGGCGCAAGCCUGAUCCAGCCAUGCCGCGUACAAGAUGAGGGCCUUCGGGUUGUAAACUGAUUUUGUACGGAACGAAAAGCCUUCUUUUAAUACGGGAGGGUCAUGACGGUACCGUAAGAAUAAGCACCGGCUAACUACGUG
rnacentral:rRNA from 1 species